GAUGAACGCUGGCGGCGUGCUUAACACAUGCAAGUCGAACGGGAAUUACUUUAUUGAAACUUCGGUCGAUUUAAUUUAAUUCUAGUGGCGGACGGGUGAGUAACGCGUGGGUAACCUGCCUUGUACAGGGGGAUAACAGUCAGAAAUGACUGCUAAUACCGCAUAAGCGCACAGGACCGCAUGGUCCGGUGUGAAAAACUCCGGUGGUAUAAGAUGGACCCGCGUUGGAUUAGCUAGUUGGCAGGGUAACGGCCUACCAAGGCGACGAUCCAUAGCCGGCCUGAGAGGGUGAACGGCCACAUUGGGACUGAGACACGGCCCAGACUCCUACGGGAGGCAGCAGUGGGGAAUAUUGCACAAUGGGGGAAACCCUGAUGCAGCGACGCCGCGUGAAGGAAGAAGUAUCUCGGUAUGUAAACUUCUAUCAGCAGGGAAGA
rnacentral:rRNA from 1 species